AUAGCCCUUUAAAAGGAGCAUGUGCUUUACUUCACGGAAUCCCCACAACCAAGUAAGUAAUGUAGUCCUUCACUAUUUGUUAUUUUUAAUAUGAAGGGAUCACGUCUAAAUGAAUUGUUGUUAUUGGAAUGGAAUAUUAAAGGGUAAUGAUGCUCUAUUAAUGGAUUCUAGAGAUCCUCACAAUUUAAGAGUUUGUAGUUGAUGACCAGGAGCAUCUUGGAUAUGAUUGUUGCAGAAUUAUAUGGUAACAAAUUGAGGAGGAGCUUUGAUUUUGUCUAUGUAGGAAACCAAGGUACCCACAUGAACAUUGUCUUGGAAACUCAUGCUGCAUAAUCACCAAGUAUAAUUGAUCUUAGGAGCAUGGACCUUAUAUGUUACAAGGUCAGAAGAUCUAUAUAGAUUUCUUUAACAUGACCAAAUAAAAUAUCCACAAACUUCAUUAGUUAAUGAGUUACCGUACCUCCACCAACCCAUAUUCCAAAGUUUAACACCUAUCUUUUACUCAUUUAUCACAAGGUACGUUUGGUUAUUACUGUUUACUUUAUUUAUUUUAUUUUUAUUUCUAUUGUAGCUAAA
rnacentral:lncRNA from 1 species